AAUGGGUCAGCGACUUAUAUUCUGUAGCAAGGUUAACCGUAUAGGGGAGCCGAAGGGAAACCGAGUCUUAACUGGGCGUUAAGUUGCAGGGUAUAGACCCGAAACCCGGUGAUCUAGCCAUGGGCAGGUUGAAGGUUGGGUAACACUAACUGGAGGACCGAACCGACUAAUGUUGAAAAAUUAGCGGAUGACCUGUGGCUGGGGGUGAAAGGCCAAUCAAACCGGGAGAUAGCUGGUUCUCCCCGAAAGCUAUUUAGGUAGCGCCUCGUGAACUCAUCUUCGGGGGUAGAGCACUGUUUCGGCUAGGGGGCCAUCCCGGCUUACCAACCCGAUGCAAACUACGAAUACCGAAGAAUGUUAUCACGGGAGACACACGGCGGGUGCUAACGUCCGUCGUGAAGAGGGAAACAACCCAGACCGCCAGCUAAGGUCCCAAAGUCAUGGUUAAGUGGGAAACGAUGUGGGAAGGCACAGACAGCCAGGAUGUUGGCUUAGAAGCAGCCAUCAUUUAAAGAAAGCGUAAUAGCUCACUGGUCGAGUCGGCCUGCGCGGAAGAUGUAACGGGGCUAAACCAUGCACCGAAGCUGCGGCAGCGACACUAUGUGUUGUUGGGUAGGGGAGCG
rnacentral:rRNA from 2 species